rnacentral:rRNA from 1 species
UACGUAGGGUGCAAGCGUUAUCCGGAAUUAUUGGGCGUAAAGAGCUCGUAGGCGGUUUGUCGCGUCUGCUGUGAAAACCGGAGGCUCAACCUCCGGCCUGCAGUGGGUACGGGCAAACUAGAGUGCGGUAGUGGAGAUUGGAAUUCCUGGUGUAGCGGUGGAAUGCGCAGAUAUCAGGAGGAACACCGAUGGCGAAGGCAGAUCUCUGGGCCGUAACUGACGCUGAGGAGCGAAAGCAUGGGGAGCGAACAGG